GCUCGCGUGGCGCAGCGGUAGCGCAGCAGAUUGCAAAUCUGUUGGUCCCCAGUUCGAUCCUGGGCACGAGCU
rfam:Ashbya gossypii ATCC 10895 chromosome IV, complete sequence.